UCCGAGUUGACCCCGGCAGUCUCCUAUGAGUCCCCACCAUUACGUGCUGGCAACAUAGGACGAGGGUUGCGCUCGUUGCGGGACUUAACCCAACAUCUCACGACACGAGCUGACGACAGCCAUGCACCACCUGUAUAGGGCCCUUGCGGACCUGACAUCUCUGCCAGUUUUCCCUAUAUGUCAAACCCAGGUAAGGUUCUUCGCGUUGCAUCGAAUUAAUCCACAUGCUCCGCCGCUUGUGCGGGCACCCGUCAAUUCCUUUGAGUUUUAGCCUUGCGGCCGUACUCCCCAGGCGGGGCGCUUAAUGCGUUUGCUGCGGCACGGAACUCGUGGAAUGAGUCCCACACCUAGCGCCCAACGUUUACGGCGUGGACUAC
rnacentral:misc_RNA from 1 species